UACGUAGGUGGCGAGCGUUGUCCGGAUUUACUGGGCGUAAAGGGCGUGCAGGCGGUUUGUUAAGUGCAGGGUGAAAGCUCCCGGCUCAACUGGGAGAGGUCCUUGCAUACUGGCGAACUCGAGGGAGGCAGAGGAAAGUGGAAUUCCCGGUGUAGUGGUGAUAUGCGUAGAUAUCGGGAGGAACACCUGUGGCGAAGGCAGCUUUCUGGGCCUUACCUGACGCUGAGGAGCGAAAGCGUGGGGAGCAAACAGG
rnacentral:rRNA from 1 species